UGGAUCAAUGACCAGUGGUGGCAUAUGAUUCAUGGAUCAUGAGUACAGGUCUGGGAGUCUGAGGUCCAC